UUACAAUCUCGUCCGCGGAAGUGGCAGCGCGAAACGCUGAAGCGGUGAGCUACUUCGGUAUUGCAAUUUCAUAAAUUGUUCAGUCUGGAAAUGUCGCACGAUGACACACGAUUUCUCUACUUCCGUGUGUCGAAAUUUAUGCCUGUACACGUCGAAAUCCAAGCCAAUGACAAAUCAUUUCGACCGGGCUUGAUUUCCCUCAAUUUUACUUGCGCGUGCUGAAACCCAUCAGCCUACAUGAUGACCUUUUGACGAAGCAUUCUUAUCAUUGGAUAUGUCCUUUAUGUCACCAGUACACUAGGUUACAGCAAAUUUAUAUGAAAAUCAAGUAAAUUCCUAGUUUUUCAAUAACGGUGACUGAGUUUACAGUUAAAUCAAUGCCACUGGAUGAACGAAGUGCAAUCAUGUAAUAAUGGUUGAUCGUGCUACCAACCGUCAUCAAUAUUGUUAUUAUUUAUCAAAGACGAAUUACAACAAUAUUUUGGUGCUCUCCAAAAAUAGGAGCUGCAGCUGUGAAAUUCUAAUACUUUACCUGAGUGAAGGAUAUCUGGUAGUAAUUAUGAAAAUACCACAAGAAGAAUCGUGCAAGUAUUACAGGAAAUACGAUAAAGUUUGACAGCUACAUAUAUUGAAAUUGGCCAGUUGAAAUAUACUACGACCCGACAGAGUGUACAAUGGAAGGAACUAAGUGAUCUGUAUAUAAUUUGUAUGAAAAUUAUGAUUUCUAUUUUUAUUUUAUAGAUAAAACAGCGAGUAUUAGCAAGUAUUAGAGGAAAGCCACGUGGACUCUUUGACUGAUCUCGAGGACGCUGACUGAGCUUGCAGUCGGAUCAGAAGCCGUGUCGCAUUGCGGGGCGCAACUCUCUUUCUCUCUCUUGCUCCUUCUCCUUCUUUUGGUUCAAUCGUUCCUUACCACCUUUCUCGAACGUGCAUUGACAGCACGCCGGCGAGCAUUCCAAGUCCUUUCAGAAUCCCUUCGUUACUCGUCCUUUGCCCCGUAAUUACCACAAGAAUUAUAGAAGCCAGGGGUAGAAGGAGUCAUAAUUGCUAUUUCAUCGGGAGGGUGAAUCCGACAUGAAAGAAGGAAAUUGAAUAGACGCGCGGAAUUGUAUGGUUCCCGGAAAAUAAGGCAAAACCCUCGCGAGUUUUUAAGCUUUUCAAUUGGUACUUAUAUCAAUUAAACGGGGAUAUUAGUUGCAUGCCGCAAGUUUUGCACGCCUCGAUUCAAGUGGAAAACGAUAUCAAAGGGGAGGACAUAAUCUGAUGUCUAGAUUAGAUGUUCCUUGUUGAACGGAUCAACUAAUGGUUAAAAGGAAACACUGCGAACAGUUGGAUCGAGUGUUACCGAUUGUUUUGAUGUUUUGAGAUAUUUGAAAAAAGGAUGUUAACCUUUUCGGUGCUCUGCGCGAGUAUACUCGUCAAAUUAUUUUGUUUUUGUCGUGCUCAAGACGAGUUAAAUCGCAUGAGCUUUUUACAUAUGAAAGAGCUCAAGAUGAGUUAACUUAUUAACAAUAAGCUCAUGCGAUUUAACUCGUCUUGAGCACGACAAGAACAAAAUAAUUUGACGAGUAUACUCGCGCAGAGCACCGAAAAGGUUAAACAAUGGUUCAUUUCUGAAUAGUUAAGUCACCUGAAUUAUAUAUAAGGUACUUUUUGAUUCAAGAAUUUGUAAAUCCACAAUUAAUUAUCGGCAAUAUAAUGAAAAAGUUGUUAAAAACGUUAGUGAAAUACGUAGUGCACAUGGGGAAAAAUUCGGAAUUAUUGAUUACUUAUUGGCGUUUUUAAUACGUUAUCAAUCGUUCAUGAAUGUCAUAAGUGAUAUUUUUCGAAUUAGAACAAUUAUAUACAUUUUCAACUCAUUAAUCAUGCACUCACAAUUGUUAUCGCGUAUAUCAAACAACGCAAAAAUUGUAACAUUGAUAAUAUAUUACUGUGAAAAGAAUAAUUGAAAAUAAGAGAAAUUGAGAACCACUAUAAUAGUACAUUAAACAAAUAUAAAUUAUGAUUAUAAAAAGUAAAUUACCUUUUAUUUAAAAUAUCUUUUAAAAGCAUUAAUUAUUACAAAUUUGUAACAGUUUUUUCCAAUACAAGAUAAUCGAGAAAAGUGUUAAUGUAGUUAACGAAGAAGCAAAAUACAAAUACUCUUAUAAAGUACAUAUAUUUAUUACUUCGACAAAUCUGGAUCCUCUGAAUUUUCACGUUCGUUUUGUACACUAGUUUUGCAUAGAGUGAUUUAUUUGUAAUUGCUGUUCGGUGCAAUUACAUAGCACAAAAAAUAGUUCGUUUGAUGAAUCUUUAAGGGGAGCGUGCCAUUUGCGAACGCAUUAGCGAAUAUUUAUGGAGACGUUACAAGGAUGAGCCUUAAUGACUCGAGGCAUUACCUUUACAUACCGAAACGGCAAUCAGGAGUACGGAAACAGUCAACAGAAUUCUUUCUUGCAAACCGUUAUUAUUCUCUGGUGGAAGUACGAAAACAAUUACUCCAAACUUGACCUGCUUGAAAGGGAGAAGCGAAAGAUUAAUUCAAGGAUAAAUGAAGUAUUAACGAUAAACGUUUCCAAAAGAAAUUGCUUCGAUAAUUAGUUCAAUUGUGAUAAUUGUCGAUGGAAUACUUGAGCGAUAACCGAAAAACAAAUAAGGUCACUAGUUACUACAGAAUAACAAGAUAUUAAAGGUCGCUUGGUAUAACAAUUGAUGUUUACAAAUAAAAAUCGUUCAUUUUAUAUAGGUACAGAUAUUACCGUGUUAGAAGAAAUAUAUUUGUGUUUUUAUAUGUUACUUUGUUGUACGUAAAUAAAUAAUUUGUACUUAUCAAAUACAUAUUAGAGAUACAGAAAGAAUCGAUAAAUAUCAAAACAUGUACACUAUGUAGUAUGAUAAUAUUGUUUAAAACAAUUGUUUUGUACUAUUCUUGUACUGUCCUUUCUAAUGAAUAUAUAUAUUGAAAUAUAAAUACUGAAUACUAUACUGAAAUAUAAAUUAAUGUUAAAAAUGUAAAUAAUUUGAAGUAUAGGAAUUUUCCCCCUCUUCUGUAAUUUUUAUUUAUGUAAAACAGUACCGUACAAAACAAUUGUUAUAUAUGUAUAUACAUGUCGAAUUGAGUAACCUCCUCUUUUUCAAAGUCAGUUACAAAGAAGAAAAAUGAGAGCGAUACAUAAUACCGUGGU